ACGGCUCAGUAACACGUAGAUAACCUACCCUUAGGACUGGGAUAACCCCGGGAAACUGGGGAUAAUACCGGAUAUGUAGUAUUGCCUGGAAUGGUUUUCUAUUUAAAGCUCCGGCGCCUAAGGAUGGAUCUGCGGCUGAUUAGGUAGUUGGUGGGGUAAAGGCCCACCAAGCCUGUGAUCGGUACGGGUUGUGAGAGCAAGAGCCCGGAGAUGGAACCUGAGACACGAAUCCAGGCCCUACGGGGCGCAGCAGGCGCGAAAACUUUACAAUGCGAGAAAUCGUGAUAAGGGAACCCCGAGUGCCCGUAAAUCCGGGCUGUCCGCCAGUGUAAAUAACUGGUGAAGAAAGGGCCGGGCAAGACCGGUGCCAGCCGCCGCGGUAAUACCGGCGGCUCGAGUGGUGGCCGCUAUUACUGGGCUUAAAGCGUUCGUAGCUGGGCUGUUAAGUCCCCUGGGAAAUCCACCGGCUCAACCGAUGGGCGUUCAGGGGAUACUGGCAGCCUAGGGACCGGGAGAGGUGAGGGGUACUCCAGGGGUAGGAGUGAAAUCCUGUAAUCCUUGGGGGACCACCUGUGGCGAAGGCGUCUCACUAGAACGGCUCCGACAGUGAGGAACGAAAGCUGGGGGAGCAAACCGGAUUAGAUACCCGGGUAGUCCCAGCUGUAAACGAUGCGCGUUAGGUGUAUCGGUGACCACGAGUCACCGAGGUGCCGAAGAGAAAUCGUGAAACGUGCCGCCUGGGAAGUACGGUCGCAAGGCUGAAACUUAAAGGAAUUGGCGGGGGAG
rnacentral:rRNA from 1 species